rnacentral:rRNA from 1 species
GACGAACGCUGGCGGCGUGCUUAACACAUGCAAGUCGAACGGAAAGGCCCUGCUUUUGUGGGGUGCUCGAGUGGCGAACGGGUGAGUAACACGUGAGUAACCUGCCCUUGACUUUGGGAUAACUUCAGGAAACUGGGGCUAAUACCGGAUAGGAGCUCCUGCUGCAUGGUGGGGGUUGGAAAGUUUCGGCGGUUGGGGAUGGACUCGCGGCUUAUCAGCUUGUUGGUGGGGUAGUGGCUUACCAAGGCUUUGAAGGGUAGCCGGCCUGAGAGGGUGACCGGCCAAAUUGGGACGGAGAUACGGCCCAGACUCCUACGGGAGGCAGCAGUGGGGAAUAUUGCACAAUGGGCGGAAGCCUGAUGCAGCAACGCCGCGUGCGGGAUGACGGCCUUCGGGUUGUAAACCGCUUUCGCCUGUGACGAAGCGUGAGUGACGGUAAUGGGUAAAGAAGCACCGGCUAACUACGUG